GCGCCAUUAGCUCAACUGGAUAGAGCAUGGGUGUUCUAUACCAAUGGUUGUAGGUUCGAAUCCUGCAUGGCGUGCCA
rnacentral:tRNA from 1 species